rnacentral:rRNA from 1 species
GACGAACGCUGGCGGCGUGCCUAAUACAUGCAAGUAGAACGCUGAAGAGAGGAGCUUGCUCUUCUUGGAUGAGUUGCGAACGGGUGAGUAACGCGUAGGUAACCUGCCUUGUAGCGGGGGAUAACUAUUGGAAACGAUAGCUAAUACCGCAUAACAAUGGAUGACACAUGUCAUUUAUUUGAAAGGGGCAAUUGCUCCACUACAAGAUGGACCUGCGUUGUAUUAGCUAGUAGGUGAGGUAAUGGCUCACCUAGGCGACGAUACAUAGCCGACCUGAGAGGGUGGUCGGCCACACUGGGACUGAGACACGGCCCAGACUCCUACGGGAGGCAGCAGUAGGGAAUCUUCGGCAAUGGGGGCAACCCUGACCGAGCAACGCCGCGUGAGUGAAGAAGGUUUUCGGAUCGUAAAGCUCUGUUGUAAGUCAAGAACGGGUGUGAGAGUGGAAAGUUCACACUGUGACGGUAGCUUACCAGAAAGGGACGGCUAACUACGUG